AUUGAUUCCAUGAGCACCCUGAAUUUGAAGUCUUAUACCUUCCCCCAUACCCCCCCCCCCCUUCCUGAAUCCAACAGAGUUUGUUUUUCUACUUCUUUCUUCAGCAAGGUGGUGGAGGGUAUACGCCUUGCGGCCCUAUGACCGUUUGCCCCUCAUUCAGGCCAUGGAGCAGACCUGUGAUCAUAUCGAAGCGGCUCCUGUGCAGGGGGGGGGGGGGAUGCGUCACACAAGGCCAUGCUUCCAACGGUGCCUUGCCUAUGAAGACGCAGCCUGUGAUGUGGAUGAAAUCUCAUGGCCUGAUCCAGCCAGACGGAGACAUGAUAGUUACAGUAUUCUUGUUGCUUUUACAGUAGUUUUUCUUUAGAAUCAAAGUAUAUGUACUUCAUGCAGUAAUUUUUAUUUGUCUACAGAUUUUAUUUGUUUCAUGGAUUUCAUUGUGUGAUUACUGUAACUGAUUAUGGUAAGAAAUAUUGUAAGUAAGGAAAUAAAUA